rnacentral:rRNA from 1 species
GAACGAGAAAGUGGAGCAAUCCAUGAGUAAAGUGGCGACCGGGUGAGUAACACGUGACUAACCUACCUUCGAGUGGGGGAUAACCUAGGGAAACCUGGGCUAAUACCGCAUAACAUCUUUGGAGUGGAAAUUCUGGAGAUCAAAGGGGCAAUUCGCUUGAAGAGGGGGUCGCGGCUGAUUAGCUAGUUGGCGGGGUAAUGGCCCACCAAGGCGAAGAUCGGUAGCCGGCCUGAGAGGGCGCACGGCCACACUGGAACUGAAACACGGUCCAGACUCCUACGGGAGGCAGCAGUGGGGAAUUUUGCGCAAUGGGGGAAACCCUGACGCAGCAACGCCGCGUGGAGGAUGAAGUCCCUUGGGACGUAAACUCCUUUCGACCGGGACGAUAAUGACGGUACCGGUGGAAGAAGCCCCGGCUAACUUCGUG